AUGCAGACCAGCGAUCCUGAUAAUGUUGUCGGCCUUGGAUGAUGAGGUCCAGUUACCAGGAGCACUAGUCCGCAGCUUACUGGUUCCGUCCUGCAGCUCCUCCACGCUGUCCUCCUCUCUACAGACCAAAUCAAGAAAAGGGAACCAGGAAGCUGCUGUGGAUCCUCUGCAGUAUCUGGAGAGGUCAGAGGAACGGUUCUUGGAACAGAUCGGAAGACACCAAGACGUGACCUCUGCCAUGCUCCAGAACAUCCAGAAGAUGAAUGAAAACCUUGGUUGGACUGAUGGGACGCAUGGUGUCGGUGCUGGAGCAACUGUCCCAGAAUUAAACUGCAUUGUUGACUAUUGACUUUUCUAGAAAAUAAAUCUUUUUUAGUACUUCA